GGUUCUGCAGAAAUGACUGGUUUGUUAUGAGAAAGUCCCAUUUUAAUAACUGAUCUAGUAUAAGGUUUUAAGUCUCCAUUAAUAGUACAAUUAAUUAGUCUAGGUUUCCCAACUGCUAUCUUUUCCUCAGAUGAUACUCUUAGACAUCCAGCAUGUUUAUCGUGGGACCAACACAAAGGUAAUUGGGCACUAUAGGCAGAAUAAUUAAAUCUAGUCACAUGAUUGGGAGUAAUAUGAGUAUCUGUAAAUCCUCCCAUCAUGAAUGAGUCAUUAGUAAACACUGGGAUGGAUUCUCCAGUCAUCAAGGCUGGGUGUACUAAAGGUGGAUCUUAGAAAUAGGUCCAAUAAGUGUUUGCUUGACUCCCUUUUACCUGACAGCCAAGUAAUGCUAUUACCAUGGCAAGCAUCAUCAUUGGAGUCUUAUUUCUCCCUAAGAGCCGAAUCAUUCACAAAGCGUGUGUUGUCAGUUUCUUCAGGUCUUCCCAUGAGAACAGCUUUUCUGCUGAAUCUUGCUGGAUCAUCUUCUUUUUUCAAAAUCUCUUUCUUUUGAGGGAAGGCUUCUCUGAGUCGAUCUUCAGUCAUUUGAAUCUUGGUUCUAUUUCCUCCAUGACUGAUUGUGCAUUCAGGCACUCAAAUAGGAUGAAAAGCACUUUCUGGAAAAAUACAAGCAUGACCUCUGCC
rnacentral:lncRNA from 1 species